AAGGUCUCGUAGGUGACCUGCGCAGGGACAUUACUGAGUGAGGGCUCACACCCGACCUCCAACCCUUUGUGAACACAUCUUGUUGCUUCGGGGGCGACCCUGCCGGCACUACGUCGCCGGGCGCCCCCGAAGGUCUCCAAACACUGCAUCUUUGCGUCGGAGUUUAAAACAAAUUAAACAAAACUUUCAACAACGGAUCUCUUGGUUCUGGCAUCGAUGAAGAACGCAGCGAAAUGCGAUAAGUAAUGUGAAUUGCAGAAUUCAGUGAAUCAUCGAAUCUUUGAACGCACAUUGCGCCCUUUGGUAUUCCGAAGGGCAUGCCUGUUCGAGCGUCAUUUCACCACUCAAGCCUGGCUUGGUAUUGGGCGUCGCGGCUCCGCGCGCCUUAAAGUCUCCGGCUGAGCCAUUCGUCUCUAAGCGUUGUGGAUUUUCUAAUUCGCUUCGGAGUGCGGGUGGCCGCGGCCGUUAAAUCUUUAUUCAAAGGUUGACCUCGGAUCAGGUAGGGAUACCCGCUGAA
rnacentral:rRNA from 1 species